rnacentral:rRNA from 1 species
GACGAACGCUGGCGGCGUGCUUAACACAUGCAAGUCGAGCGGUAAGGCCCUUUCGGGGGUACACGAGCGGCGAACGGGUGAGUAACACGUGGGUGACCUGCCCUCAGCUCUGGGAUAAGCCUGGGAAACCGGGUCUAAUACUGGAUAUGACUCCAUGACGCAUGUUGUGGGGUGGAAAGCCUUGUGCGGCUGAGGAUGGGGCCCGCGGCCUAUCAGCUUGUUGGUGGGGUGANGGCCUACCAAGGCGACGACGGGUAGCCGGCCUGAGAGGGCGACCGGCCACACUGGGACUGAGACACGGCCCAGACUCCUACGGGAGGCAGCAGUGGGGAAUCUUGCGCAAUGGGCGAAAGCCUGACGCAGCGAC